GGCGAGAUAGCUCAGCUGGCUAGAGCAUCCGGUUCAUACCCGGCAGGUCGAGAGUUCGAAUCUCCCUCUCGCUACCA
rnacentral:tRNA from 3 species